rnacentral:lncRNA from 1 species
CGCCACUGUUUGCUCUGCUGCUGUUUGAGCAGGGCCGGGCCCGCCGCGGGGGGAGGUUCCCGGGGCGCGGGGGGGCUCCCCCGGGUCGGGCCGGGUGAAACGGAGUCCCCGUGUCCCGUGCCGGGAUCCCCCCCCCGUGUCCCCGCUGUCUGUCCCCAGGGCUGGCAGCUGGGGGGCUGCACAGGGAGGGACCCCAGAAGCACCCCCCAGGCACAACCCAGUGCGGGGUCUGGAAGUGGGUGCAGUGUGGAGCCCCCCCGCCACGUGCCCCAUCAUUUCCCCACCUGGCAUCACGCACCCUGUCCCAACAGGACACCCGGUGCCCGCACCACCCUGUGGGGAGCCCCCCCAUGCUGAAGGGGUCCCGCAGCAAAGUGACCAAGGAUGGGCGUCCUGCCAGCCCCAAGCGGGACAGGGACGUGAGGACAGAUCCCGGCACGGCUCUGGGGCCAGGCCAGGCUGGCACGGGAUGCAGCCGGAGGAACGAGGAACCCCUGGUGGUGGCACAGGGCCGGGGGCCUUGGGGACACUGUGGCGCUGGGGAUGGCACCAGCAGGAGAAGCGGCACCAAGGCUGGUGCCCCGCGUCCUGCGAGCUGUGCCCUGGGGAGCAGAGCAGCGAUGGGGGCUGGCAGUGGCGGGGGGCCAGAGGUCCGUACCCAGCUGUGCUUGGCCCCACGCAGCAGUGAGCAGAGAGGCGAGCGCAGCCCUGGGCAUGGGCAGCGCCUGGCACAAAUCACUGCAGGGGCUUCCGAAGCCCCUCACUCAUGGGCAGCAGGGCUGGGGUGCACGGCACAGCCCCACCCGCUGCAGCUUUGGGCACCCACCAGCACCCCCAGCAGGCUCGGGAGCUCCCCACUGGGCAGCAUUUGGGGAGGACCCGCACCCCUCACGUGCAGCCACGUGGAUCACCCCCAGCCGCGCUCCCCCACCGCAGACCCCUCCGUCUGGCCCAGGAGUGACGGGGCCCGGAGCUGGGGCACCGCGCACCCCGCUCCACCCGGCUUCCCCCCCCCGGGGCAGGGAUGGCGACAGCAGCCGUCACGUCACCGCCAGCACCGCGUCACCUCCGCAGCUGCGCCAGACCCCAGGGCAGGGUCCCCACCCGGCAGCCCCCAGGCUCCCCCGGCAGGGCAGGGAGAGGCAGGGACGCAGCACCGCAGCAGCAGCCGGCCCCCUGCAUGCAAAUCCCCGCGCCGCCUGCAGCGCUGCUCCCUCUGCGGCGCCACGGAGGGGGCAUGGAGCUGGGGACACCCCCCCCGUGGCUGGCUCCCAGCCCGGGGUGCCCCCAGCCCUGCCCAUGUCGGGCACAGCAGAGGGGACAGCACGGAGCUGUGGGGACAGGACGGGACAAUGCGCACGAUGCCAGGAGCACAGCACCCACACUGCAGCCACCAGCAGCGGCCUUCCCCGUGCGCAGCCCCCUCAGCCUCCCCAUGCAGCCACCUCCUGUCCCACGCAGCCACCAGAACCAGCCCACGGUCCCCCCGGGCAGCACCAUGUCCCCACAGU